GCAUGGGCGAGCGGCCCGCUGCAGGGGGCGGGGCCAGGAAUGCUCUGGCCCCACCCAAGUUCGAAGGGCCAAUCGGGGCCCCGCUCUGUUUCUGCGCUGAUCUCACAAGUGACAAUGCUCUUUGGCUCUGACCAUGCCAGCAGGCUUCACGGUUCUCGUUUUCCAAAGAGGAACACAGAUUCAGCGAGCGGCUGCUGGCUUGUGACCUGUUUUGAUGUCAGGGCUUGGCACGUAGGAGGUGUUCAAUGUUGAUCGAUCCAAGGUCAUGCACAUAGGGUCUAAGACGGAAGAGAACUUCCUGCCCCUCUUGGAGCUUCUAUUUUAGAGAGAGACACGGCCAGACAGGUCUCGAACUCCUGGCCUCAAGUGAUCCGCACACCUUGGCCUCCCAAAAUGCUGGGAUUCCAGGCGUGAGCCACCGCGCCUGGCCUGAAGGGCGUGGACACAUCUGGUUAUGCUGGGAAAGAACAAGUCUUAUGUCUCAAUCUCGCUUUUAAAGCCCAACUGAGAUGCAGAAGAGUGUUAACAGCUAAACAUUGAGAGGUCUCCAUGUCAGCAAACUGAAUAAAAAAAUAGAGAAAAAAAAUAAUCAAUGUGAAAGGCAAUCAGGAGCUUUAAGACAUCCACUGAACACAGAGAUAAACGGGAACAACUGCAUGAACACUUACACAUGUG